CCGAUGUGUCAGAGUUCCCUAAGGACUUCAAGGGUUUCCGGGCAGUGCUCACCCCUAGAUUUCAUAGCCAAGAUAGAGUAAGUGUAGUGUUGAAAGGUUAGCUUUCAUAUGUCCAAGUUUAGAUGGAUCUCAAGGGUCGUAAGGAAAAAGGGGAUGAACUUAGUGGUCUAAGAGUAAAGUGAGAGUGCUUAUCAUAGUGUUGAAAAGCAAUUAGUGAAACUGUCAUGACCCAAUAUCCACUAAGGGUCGUGGUGCUGCCAGAAACCGCUGUCAGGCCAGCCAACUCAAAUCCUAAUGUAAAUCUCUUUUCAUCACUUUUGAAAAUACAAGAAUUUUCUUUCAUUAAUUAGAAACCUUUGAUGAAAAUAUAGUUUCAAAACCACACAUAAGAGUUAAACAAUUAAUAAAAUAUUUUAAACCAUCCCAGAACCCUGAGUCACAAGUACAUGAGCAAUUUUCUAAAGAAAACCAAAUAGGUACAACAACUGCCCGGAGUACAAUUGGACAGAAAGUAAAUAAUGUUCUGAGAGAGACUAUACUUGCUACAGAAUCGCCUCGAAGAAAUACAGCUCACCUAGUCUCUGUGCCCGUCAUGCUGCUAAGCCACGAGCCGCACAAUAAACCUGUGCAACAAAAUGCACAACAAAUGUAGUAUGAGUACAAAAAAAUAAUGUAUACCCAAUGAGUGUCCCGCCUAAUCCCGAAGGAGUAGAGACGAGAUGGUCAACUCUGACACUUACUAGCAGUCCUAUGACUAUUUAUCCUUAAUAAAUAUAUUCAAACAAUAGGAUUUGUUUUAUAAAUAUGCUUCUAAUCCAGAUGUGGGAGAACAAGUAGUCAUAUAAUUCUUUCAUGGAAAAGUUUCCUUAGAUUUCUUAUUAUUAUUAACAAUAUGAUCUCGAUCCGUAAUAAGGCAUGAAACAACUCAAAUAAAUCCAAGACAACAGCACAAACAUGCGCAAAUCAUGCCGAGGUCGACGGCCCGCUCCAACACAAAUGUAAGGUGGACACUGCCGAGGGUCGAGCGGCCCGUACCGUAGAUGCAUCCAUUUCACCGAGCCGAUCGGCCCGUUCCAAUAGAAAUAUAACAUACACAAACAGAUAAUCAGUCCAGAAGUCAUCGUGGAGCAGAUGUCCAAGAAAUGCCAAUUCUCUUCAAUAAUUUGAGAAAAACAGAGAUUAAGACUUUUAGAAAUCCAUUUAUUAAUUUAAUGUGAUUAAAGCAUUCCAAGCCAUCAAGGUGUUUACAAAUAAUCCAAUUAUAACAUGCUUUUUGGUCCUAGACUACCAGACAAUAGCAUAAUUGUAGCUACACACGGACUCUUGUCACCUCGUGUGUACGUAGCCCCCACAAUUAGGAGCACAUAAUCAAUUUAACUCACUUAUGGGGUGGUGUACCCCUCACAAGAUUAUAAAGGAGACUCACCUCGUCCGAAGACUCAAUAUCGACAUUCUUCAUUCCUCCAAAGACUUGAACCAACGCACAAAUGCUCCAAAACUAGUCAAAUAACGGAAACUAAUGAGAAUAUACUCAAAUACUUGCUAAUAAUUCAAAUUAUAAAAUUUCCCAACUUCGUUUUGUGAAAUGACCAAAAUGCCCUCGGGCCCACGUGCCCGUAGUCCGGAAUUUCUUGAAGGUAAAGUUUACCCAUGACCUUAAUAACUCAAAUAUACAAUUUUCUCUUAAUUCCCCACUCAAAAUCGUGAUAAAUAAUCCAAAAUACUAAUUUUCUUGGUUUUCCUCUAACCCUUAAAUUUCCCACAAUUUUCAUGCCUAAAUCUAUGGAAAAAUCUUGUAUUUAACUUGAAAAUAAGUAGAAGUAACUCAGCUUAACAUAGAUUAUGGAAAAUACUCCAUGAAGCUAUCCAAAAUUGCCCCCAAGACAAGAGAAAGGCAGUGAGAAAUGACCCAAAAUCGGGUUUUAAAAACCUUCUGCCCCAAUCGUUUUUCGCACAUGCGGCUCCCAGGCCGCUUCUGCGAUUCCUUAGGUGCGAUCCAAAUUUUGCAUCUGCGGUCUUCACUAGGCCUCCCCCUUUCUGCUUCUACGUUCCAUUUUCCGUUGGUGUGGUCCCGCAUAUGUGGCCAAACGACCACAUCUGCGGUCCUAGCACCCAGCACCCCAGCCACUUCUGCGGUCCUAACCUCGCUUCUGCGGACCCAUUUCUGCAGAAGCAGAAAUACCAGGAACCAAACCCUUCAGCUAUGCAAAAAAUGCUAACUUCGAUCUGUUAGCCAUCCGGAAUCUACUCGAGGCCCCCGGGACCCCAACCAAUCAUACCAAUCAGUCCGAAAACACAUUACGGACCUGUUUGAGGCCUCAAAUCACAUCAAACCACGAUAAAGUCAUCGAUCGACCUCUAAUCAAAACUUUAUGAACUUUGAACUUUCCAACUUCUACUUUCGAUGUUUAAACCUAUCAAAUCAUGUCCGAUUGACCUCAAAUUUUGCACGCAAAUCAUAUUCGACAUUGCUGACCUAUCCCAACUUCUGGAAUCAGAUUCUGACCACGAAAUAAAAAAAUCCACUUCCAGUCAAACUUCUCAAAAACCUUCAAAUUUCUAUCUUUAGCAAAAUGGCUUCAAAAUGACCUACAAACCUCCGAAUUCACUUAAGAUCGCGCUCCCAACUCCAGAAUCACCAUACAGCGCUACUCCCAAUCUCGGAAUUCCAAACGGACGUCGAUAAAGCUGAAAUGCACUUCAAGCCAACCUAUAAAAUUUCUUCCAAAAUGCUAACUUUCACAAUAAGCGCCAAAAUGCUCCCGGGUUAUCCAAAACCCGAACCGGGAAUACGCAUAAGUCCAAUAUCAUUAUAUAGACCUGCUGGAACCUUCUGAUCCCGAUUCCGAGGACGUUUACUCAAAAAUCCAAUCCUAGUUCAUUCUUUUAACUUUAAGCUUCUAAAAUGAGAAUUUUUAUUCAGAUUUAAUUCCGAUCUUUCUGAAUUCCAAUUCCGACCCUGCGAACAAGUCACAAUACCAGAAAUAAAGUUGCUCAUGGCCUCUGACCGCUGAACGACGCACUAGAGCUCAAAACGACUGAUCGGGUCGUUACAUUCUCUCCUACUUAAACAUACGUUCUUCCUCGAACGUGAUGAGAUCUAUAUCGAAGUAGUCUUGAAUCUCUGUUUAGCACCUUAUGCACUUUCCUAUGCCGCCACAACUUAGCUGAGAACAUUAGCUCGAUAUAUUCUUAAGAUAUUUCCUUUUUAUUCAAGCAAAUAGAGCCCAAUUCCAACAUCUGAAGUUCCAUGCUAGGACUGUUUUCAUCAUGAGAUCACCAAAUCAUUCACCACACGCUGCCUUCAAACAUGACUGCAUAACUUUGCUGGACUCUUACUUUGUAAUACAAAAUCCACAUGACCAUGAUAAUAUUUUUAUGAUCAACUUAGCCAAAAUUCAACGAAUCAGAUGAUCCAAUUGCACCGCAUGACCUACUUAGGUCUUGUUCUAACUUUUACAACACUGACACGACAAAAGAGAUGUGCCAAAAUUCAUAACCAACUGCUGAACCAACAAGUCGUUGGUUCUAUACCUCUGAAAGAACCAUUACCACAUUCUGAACCAAAAAAGGAUAUCUGCUCUUUAAUAUACUUCAUGUGCUCAGAAUGCACUGAUCCUAAAUUUCAUAAUCUAACCUCAGCCAGUACAAACUGUUCAUGCAAUAAGCCACCUCGGACACAAUCAAGAGCCCCAUAUGAUGCCACCAUGUGCCAAUUGGCUACCGAUUAGGAUAUGAUACAAGGAGAACACGAACUCUGAAACGGACAUGUAAUUACCCCGCCUGCGAAUCAUACGUGCGACGCGGGCUAACAACUUAUGCGAGUUUUUCUCAGGAAAAUGGGAAACAGAACACAUAAAAGAAACUAGGGGGAACUGUACUGAACAUCAUACUGUUGCGCACGUGCAACCCGAUCCAAACAACAUAACCAUGGCGGCGUGACACCCAAUACACACAUCAUAACUAUGGCGGCGCGCCACCCGGUUCGAAUAACAUACCCAUGGCUGCGUGCCACCCGAUCCACAUACAGGCUCACAUAAGGAGAUAUACCUUGAGCUAGACAGCUCAUCUCAUCAAACUAACGAACAUUGGUCGUAAACAUACUAAGGUGUAUAAUACCAUCCCUGAUGACACAUAUAGCGCUAUAGGCUACAAAACUCAAGCACAGCUGAAGUGCGAUACAUGAUCUAAUUGUCAAGAGCCAUCUUGCUCAUAUAAUAUCACAGUUGCGCGGAACCUCAACACAUAGGAAAUUUACCAAGCCGUUCAGAACUUAUACGGCGAAAUACAUCAUUAACUGGAUAGCUGAUGAUAAAAUAACACCCCGACUGUUCCUCCAUAGGGAACGCUCACUAAUAGGAACACAACUCGCCUGAUACAAAGCCAUGUUCACAAAUAAAUCAAUCCACUGAUCUCAAGCCAAUUUCUGAUUGCACCAAUUUGGCUAAUAACCUUUCAAACGUUCAUAGUAACUCAUUCUUCAUCAUAACAUAUAGGAACAAACAUUAUAACCGGAGCAACCUCUUCCGUUCAUAUUCCAAUAAACAAAGUGCCCUCCAAGCCUAAAUUCUCAAAUUGAUGAUAUUACCUAAAUCCUCAUACUUGGUUUAAAUCCCUAAUCAAUCAAGUGACUACACGUCACACGUAUACAAUCUUCCUAUAGGACACACUCCCAAAAUCUUUCGAAUAAAUAAUGAGUACGCACAUCCAAACCAUCGGACGUACUAACGCUGAAAAGCGAUCCAGAAUCCUUAACCAGGACGCAAAGCCUUUCUCACAAAACACAGAUCUCAGAUGACACUGCAGAUAAUACCAAUUUACCCAAAACAUGGAAACACCCUUCCUGCUCAUCCGAGCACGUGACAUCAUAGUCAUUACCAAACUGUAACCUCGAUCCUCACUUCAAAUUCUAUGCAACUCACUGCACCACACGUGUCGAUAUAUGAUAACCACGAUUUCCAUCACAACUCUGGAACCACUGAUAGACUAACACUCCAUCAUAUAAAACUCUCCAUUUAACUCACUUCAGGAGAGCAAUAGCCACAUACAGGAGAAUUCUCAUAACCAUCGAAUAUGCCAAUCUCUAAGUAGUGGUCCAAGCCACCAUAACCAUUUCUGGAUCUGCCCAUUCAUAAUAGGCCAUAACAGAAGGAUGCUUCUGAAUAACAUCAAUUACUUCGGCCGACAAGCGUCACAUGCACUGUCACAAAUCACAUGCAUGACUUGAUCAUGCUAGGUGAACCGAUCACCACUACCAGUAUGCCAAGUUAACCAUGGCUAAUCAAUCUAGUUCUUUCCACUAAAUCCUUGACUGCCUUAGGAAUAAUACUUAUUUAUUCAACAAAUAACAUACUCCAUCUGCACUCAUCCCAAGUGACCUUGAAUCACGAGACCAUGCUGUCUCGAAGCCCACAAAUCAUUUCAUAUCUCUCAAAUACCACCUGCAAGUACAAAUGUCAUAGAAAAGUCUAGGCACCUUCUCAUACGCUGCUACGAAGCUUGAUUAUAAACCGUACUCAUAGGCUCGAAAUCAUUGGGUACCCCAUUUUCACUUCUACAUUCACAAGGAUAAUUAUUAAGAGCCACCCGCUCUGACUAGGUCACGAAUAUAAUCAGCUCCACCAACCUCACAAUACAUGAAUACCUUCUCCACGAAGCAUCCAGCAGAAUCACUUCUUCUGAAACCUGCAUCUAUACAAGGCAUGAAUCCUGAAUUUUUUUCUAAGUUCGAACAUGAGCCAAUAAAGUUAGCCGUAGCACGCCUUCAACAAUUUCUUUGCUCGAAUUACCACUUAUGGUGUAUUCUCAUAGUUGAAAUAAUCCAUCAAUAUGUUAAUAACCAAAAAUCACACAUGUAGCUAAUCAUGCAACCCAAUCAUAAGCGGUGGGACUCUCCCACUUAGCGUGAAGCCGUUAUUUCACACUUCCCGAGCUCGCCCGACCUCUUUACUUCUUAUGGGAAUAACCUCGCACCAUAAUGUAUCAAAAUUUCUUGAAAUCUUUCGGUAAAAACUCUGAAUCAUCAUCCACAUUCGUACGUCUGAUCUCCUUGUUGAACAACCAAGACAAUUCUUGCAGAGGCUUCGCCAACCACGCGACCGCAAACCUGCUCAUGGGGAAUAACCCACCUAGGGGAAUCACCUCUCGACAUCUUCCCACGCUGCUACAGGGGCACAUUCACCAUGGCACCAAUAGCCCCAUCCUAAGUCCGAGCUCACCUUCCAGCUGCACAAGUCCAUUCACCCUCAUGAACGUCCAUUAAAUGUGUAGCAACAUCCUUCAAAUUUCAGGUUUAUGCUGCACCCUUCUCUAUUUCAAGCAUCUCCUUUCCGCCAUAUCAAUAUUCUGCCGCAUAAUAUCCCAUACUUCACAUCAUACACGUAGGCUUCAAUCACUAAUCAUUAGAAUGCCUAAUUCGAUCAAAACUCUCCUUAAGGCGCGUAGUCUUCCUAUUACCAAGCCCAUAUGCAACCCCUGACACUCUCCAACUUUGGAGGAACUCAUCUCCUUAAUUGGUCACUCAACCUUGCUUCUCAUACUUGGCCUUCUAGAAAUUAUAUACACCACCUGACACUUCCCACAUGUCCUUCCUCAUACAUUGCUGCUCAAAUGUUGCCUUAAAUGAGAUAUAUCUUCGUGGAACUUGAAUCCACCAUUGUUGCUAACUUUAUAAAAUUUCCAAAGGUCAUCUUUAUCGAUCCAUCAACAUUAAAAAUUCUGAUUCGAUCUUUAACCACCAUACCAUGCGAUAUCUAACAGCUGUAUCUCCAAUACUAUUUCACAAUAUCCUACAACAAGGUAGAUUGCAGCGGAUUAUAAUAUCGACAAACUUAGUACAUUCCAUUAGGGCCAUAACACCCCAUCAUAAUAGAAAGCUCAACCACACUUGUAAAUACCGGUCUCAUUACUUCCACCAGCCCAAAUAUGACCAUCCUUGGUCCGACUGCCGUUCCCCUUGCCGGGAAUAGAAUAUUGAAUCCCUUGAUUACACGCUGAGUAAACUUCCCUUCAAUUCAUCCACUGCCCUGACACGUGGGAAAACAUCAUAUCAUCACAACAACACGGCAAAAAUAGUCGAUCAUAAGCAUCAUGGAACCCUGUGCCCAGUCUCAAGGCUCUUAGAAGUCCUGUUACAGAGCUGAACAAUGGAAUAUCCUCCCAUAAUACAAUUAUAAUAGUCCAAUCAAUUAUACCGGGAAAAAUCAUCCCGCACCACAUUUUUAGUGCCAAUUCAAGCCUUCAAAUUCUCGAUUUCUAGCAAGAGGCCGCGUCGCGUAAGAUUGAUCAGGAAGGAAUCAAAGGCAUAAGCCUCAAAGGAAUAACAACACGAUAAGAAAAUCAAGAAGGGAAGUACUCCUAACAGCCCUAUAGCCUCCCGAGGAUAAGUAUAGAUGUCUCCGUACCGAUCCGCGAGACUCUAUUAGACUUGCUCAUGAAUUGUGAGACCGACGGGAACCUAGUGCUUUGAUACCAUGUUGUCACGACCCAAAAUCCACUAAGGGUCGUGGUGGCGCUGGACACCGCUGUUAGGCCAGCCAACUAUAAUGGUAAAGUAAAUCUCAUUUCAUCAUUUUUGAAAAUACAGGAGUUUUCUUUCAUUAUUUCAAAAUUUUUAAAAAAAGUAUAGUUUCAAAUCACAUUUAAGAGUUAAACAAUUAAUACAAUAUUUCAAACCAUCCAAGAACCCGGAGUCACAAGUGCAUGGGCAAUUUUCAAAAGAAAAUUAAAUAGGUACAAUAACUGCCCAGAAUACAAUUGGACAGAAAAUAAAUAAAGUUCUGAGAGAGACUAUACUAGUUGCGGAAUCACCUUGAAGAAAUACAGUUCACCCAGUCUCUGCGCCCUUCAUGGCGCUAAGCCACAAACCAUGCAAUAAACCUGUGCAACAAAAUGCACAACAAGUGUAGUAUGAGUACAAAAAAAUAACGUGUACCCAAUGAGUGUCCCACCUAAUCCUGAAGGAGUAGAGACGAGAUGGUCAACUCUGACAUUCACCAGCAGUCCUAUGACUAUUUAUCCUUAAUAAAUAUAUUCAAACAGUAGGAUUUGUUUUAUAUGCAUGUUCCUAAUCCAGAUAUUGGAAAACAAGUAGUCAUAUAAUUCUUUCAUGGAAAUGUUUCCUUAGAUUUCUUAUUAUUAUUAACAAUAUGAUCUCGAGCCGUAAUGAGGCAUGAAACAACUCAAAUAGACAACAGCACAAACAUGCCCAAAUCAUGCCGAGGUCGACGACCCGCUCCAACAGAAAUGUAAAGUGUGCAUUGUCGAGGGUCGAGCGUCCCGUACCAUAGAUGCAUCCAUUUCAUCGAGGCGAUCGGCUCAUUCAAAUAUAGAUAUUACACAUAGACAGAUAAUCAGUCCAGAAGUCAUCGUGGAGCAGAUGUCCAAGAAAGGCUAAUUCUCUUCAAUAAUUUGAGAAAAAACAGAGCUUAAAUCUUUCAGAAAUUCACUUAUUAAUUUAAUGUGACUGAAGCAUUCUAAGACAUCAAUGGGUUCACAAAUAAUCCAAGUAUACUAUGCUUUUGAGUCCUAGAAUACCCAGACAAUAGCAUAAUAGUAGCUAUGCACGGACUCUCGUCAUCUCGUGAGUACGUAGCCCCCACAAUUAGGAGCACAUAAUCAAUUUAACUCACCUAUGGGGUGGUUUCCUCCUCACAAGAUUAGAAAAGAGACUCAUCUCGCCCGAAGACUCAAUAUCGGCAUUCUUCAUUCCUCCAAAGACUUGAACCAACAAACAAAUGCUCAAAAGCUAGUCUAUGACGGAAAACUAAUGAGAAUAUACUCAAAUACUUGCUAAAAAUUCAAAUUAUAGAAUUUCCCAACUUCGUUUUGUGAAAUGACCAAAAUUCCCUCGGGCCCAUAUGCUCGGAAUCCGAAAUUUCUUGAAGUUAAAGUUUACCCAUGACCAUAGGAACUCAAAUAUACAAUUUUAUCUUAAUUCCCCACUCCAAAUCGUGAUAACAAAAUCGAAAAUACUAAUUUUCUAGGUUUUCCUCUUUCCCUCAAUUUUUCCACAAUCUUCAUGCCUAAAUAUAUGGCAAAAUCUUGUAUUUAGCUUGGAAAUGAGUAGAAGUAGCUCACCUUAACAUAGAUGACGGACAAUACUCCAUGAAGGCUCUCCAAAAUCUCCCCCAAGCCAAGAGAUAGGUGGUGAGAAAUGACCCAAAAUUGGGUUUUAAAAACCUUCUGCCCUAGUCGUUUUUCGCACCUGCGGCUCCCAGGCCGCUUCUGCGGCUCCGCAGGUGUGGUCCAAAUUUUGUAUCUCCGGUCUUCACUGGGCUUCCCCCUUUCCGCUUAUGCGUUCCAUUUUCCGCAGGUGUGGUCCCACAUCUGCGGCCAAACGACCGCAUCUGCGGUCCUAGAACUCAGCACCCCUGCCACUUCUGUGGUCCUAACCUCGCUUCUGCAGGGCCGCUUCUGUAGUCCCAUUUCCGCAGAAGCGGAAUACAAGGAACUAGCAAAAUUUUUCCAAUUUUUAUCCGUUAGCCAUCCGAAAUCUACCCCAGGCCCCUAGCACCAAACCAAUCAUACCAACAAGUCCCAAAGCACCUUACGGGCCUGUUCGAGGCCUCAAAUCAUAUCAAACCACGAUAAAAUCAUCGAUCGACCUCUAAUCCAAACAUUAUUAAUUUUGAACUUUUCAAAUUCUACUUCCGAUAUUUAAACCUAUUAAAUUCUGACCCCGAUAUCAAAAAGUCCACUUCCUGUCAAACUUCUCAGAAACCUUCUAAUUUCUAUCUUUAGCCAAAUGGCUUCAAAAUGACUUACGGACCUUCGAACUCACUUCCGAUCGCGCUCCUAACUCUAGAAUCACCAUACGGAUCUACUCCCUGUUCUGAAUUCCAAAGAGACGUCAAUAACACUGAAUGUACUUCAAGCCAAACUUAUAAAAUUUCUUCCAAAAUGCUAUCUUCUACAAUAGGCCCCAAAAUACUUCUGAGUUAUCCAAAACCCGAACCGGGCAUACGCCCAAGUCUGAUAUCAUUAUACUAACCUGCUGGAACCUUCAGAUCCCGAUUCCGCGGUUGUUUACUUAAUAAUCCACUCCUAGUUCAUUCGUUCAACUUUAAGCUUGUGAAAUGAGAAUUUUAAUUUAAAUUUAAUUCUGAUUUUUUCUGAGCUCCAAUUCCGACCUUGCGAAAAAAGUCACAGUACCUUAAAUGAAGCUGCUCAUGGCCUCAGACCGCUGAACAACGCGCUAGAGCUCAAAACGACCGGUCGGGUCGCUACAAAAAUAAUGUUGAAAUAGAACUUUCAAGAGUAAAAGAAAAUAUUUAGGAAUAAACACAGUGUUUAAAAAAUGCUAAGAGUGAAAAUAGAUUUUGGAAGCAACUCUGAGAAAACACACAGUCACAAAAUACAACUUAGAGUGCCCAGAUUUAGAGCCAUUCAUUACUUGAUUCUAAGUGAAGACAAAUAGCUUUAUAGACAAGGAUCAAGGGCGUUGGGGACAUAGAGAGCUCAAAUCAGAAGCACAUAAAUAUUGAAGAGAAGAUAAGCAUACAAACAAGCAAGUACAAAGAACAAGUAGGAACUGAUUGACCUCUAGAACAACAACUACUAUUUCAAAGUGUUAACAAGGGAAUCAUACUCGAAAUUAGAAUAGUAAUAGGCAAUAAUACAUAGAGACAGGGUAUGGGAGUGGUCAUGCUGAGUACAUGGGUCUAUUACACAUGAUUAGUCAUGCCGCUUAGGGUUAACCAAGCACAUUUAGGAUUCUAUGAUAUUAGCAUGGCAUACUAGUUGAGGGAAAUAAACAAGAACUCAAGUAGACAUGCUGGCCAAGUAUCAAACAAGACAAGUGAUACCUAGACAUACUGAUUACACACUUGAACAGGAGAGGGAAAAACCUAAGCAUUCUGAAUAAAGCAGUAAACAAGAAGGGAAAUUAAAUACAUAAUCCAUAAAAUUAGUGCAAAAGGAGACAUGUAUUAAUCAGACAUAGAGCACAUAGAGUUGAGUUUUAGAUUUGAACUAAGAACAUACCAGUUAAGAAAGCAAAGUGCAGAAAGUAAAGCAAGAAAAGUUCCACAGUCUAGCCUUGGGUUUCAGCUGGCUACACAAGAGGUUAGCACAAGUAGCAAUGAGAUAAGUUAUAAGAGAGAAUCUUUAUUGUGUGUGUUCUCUUUGAACUAAUUGUUCGUGUGUUAAGAGGUAAAAAAAAGAGUGUAUAUAUAGAACUUUAUGAAUAGAACCAAUAAGGUAAAAAAAUUAGAAGCCAGUCAAUUAGGGACAACUAUAUAAUUAUGGAAUCAAAUCACCUAAAGGGUUUCUGAAUAGACCCCCUUAAUUAGGGGUAAUUGAUUAACGGUAACAACAUGUAUUUAAUUAAGGCAAUGAGUCCAAAUCAUACCAAAUAAGAAAUUAGUAAGAAUCCUAGAAUUGCAUUGGUAAUCAAUUAAGGCAGAGAUGACCAAUUAAAGUCAUAAUCUAGGAAAUAAAUAUAAUCUAUGCACACGAAUCUUAAAAGAGUAAAGUAAUUAGCAAAGCCUUCAAAAAGAAUUGUGAUUUUCGGAUAGAAUUACUCAAAUGCCAUAAGUUAGAGAUUAAACUUAGUAAAACUCACAGAAAAUAUAGAACUUAGCCGGAAAAGCAGGUUCGAACUCUAACAAAGAUUAAUUAGGGAAAAAUCACAUAUAUACUGGAUUUAACAAGGAAAAAUGUUUAAGUCCAAAAGGAAGAGUAAACUAAGACGACUGGUAC
rnacentral:lncRNA from 1 species